GACGAACGCUGGCGGCGUGCUUAACACAUGCAAGUCGAACGGUGAACCAGGCUUCGGCCCGGGGAUCAGUGGCGAACGGGUGCGUAACACGUGGGCAACCUGCCCCAGACUCAGGGAUAACCCCGGGAAACCGGGGCUAAUACCCGAUACUCCGGUCGAACCACAUGGCUCGAUCGGGAAAGCUCCGACGGUCUGGGAUGGGCCCGCGGCCUAUCAGCUUGUUGGUGGGGUAACGGCCUACCAAGGCGACGACGGGUAGCUGGUCUGAGAGGACGAUCAGCCACACUGGAACUGAGAUACGGUCCAGACUCCUACGGGAGGCAGCAGUGGGGAAUCUUGCACAAUGGGCGAAAGCCUGAUGCAGCGACGCCGCGUGGGGGAUGAAUGCCUUCGGGUUGUAACCCCUUUCGGCAGGGACGAAGCGCAAGUGACGGUACCUGCAGAAGAAGCUCCGGCU
rnacentral:rRNA from 1 species